rnacentral:lncRNA from 1 species
GGCAAACCUUUCAGUUUUAGAUGCUCUUCUUGGGUCAGUGGCCUGAAUUUAGUUUGAUAGCGACUUAACUCUACAUUCAAACGAUGGACUGUCAAUUUCAGAGCAUCAUUUUCAUCUACAAGUUCUUGUGCUUGUUGUCUCAGAGAAAGUAAUUCUGUAGUCUCUCCUUCAUUGCAUGUCUUUGCAGCUUCUUUAAGUUUUCUGUUUUCUUCUUCUAGUCUCUUCAAUUUUAAUUGCUGUUCUUCCAUUUGCUGUUUUAUUCCCUUGAGUUGUUGGCCCACAGCCUGGUAUGCCUUGUUCAAAGACCAGUUUUCUUGUUGUAGCUCUCUGAGCUUUUCUCUAGUCAUAUUUUCCCGUGAUUGCCUUGCACGAAUAGAGACAUCUGGGGAUGGUGGAGGCUUCUCCCGGAUAAGACUUUCAGCUAAUGAUUUUUCUUCCUUUGAAUUCAAGCCAAGCCGUUCAUUCUCUUCAGAUUGCACAUUUG